rnacentral:rRNA from 1 species
ACGUUAGCGGCGGACGGGUGAGUAACACGUGGGUAACCUACCUAUAAGACUGGGAUAACUUCGGGAAACCGGAGCUAAUACCGGAUAAUAUUUCGAACCGCAUGGUUCGAUAGUGAAAGAUGGUUUUGCUAUCACUUAUAGAUGGACCCGCGCCGUAUUAGCUAGUUGGUAAGGUAACGGCUUACCAAGGCGACGAUACGUAGCCGACCUGAGAGGGUGAUCGGCCACACUGGAACUGAGACACGGUCCAGACUCUACGGGAGGCAGCAGCC